rnacentral:rRNA from 1 species
GACGAACGCUGGCGGCGUGCCUAAUACAUGCAAGUCGAGCGGAGUUUUUAAAAGCUUGCUUUUAAAAACUCAGCGGCGGACGGGUGAGUAACACGUGGGCAACCUGCCCUGUAGACUGGGAUAACUUCGGGAAACCGAAGCUAAUACCGGAUAAUCAUAGAAGUUGCAUAGCUUCUAUGUAAAAGUUGGGUUUACCUAACACUACAGGAUGGGCCCGCGUCGCAUUAGCUAGUUGGUAAGGUAACGGCUUACCAAGGCGACGAUGCGUAGCCGACCUGAGAGGGUGAUCGGCCACACUGGGACUGAGACACGGCCCAGACUCCUACGGGAGGCAGCAGUAGGGAAUCUUCCGCAAUGGACGAAAGUCUGACGGAGCAACGCCGCGUGAGCGAUGAAGGCCUUCGGGUCGUAAAGCUCUGUUGUUAGGGAAGAACAAGUGCUAUUCGAAUAGGGUGGCACC